UAUGAAAAUGAUGACAGAAUUGUAUUUUUUGGGUCACUAUCCAAGUCUAUCAAAUCAAGUUUUUUGCAGUGAUCACUAGAUCAUGAUAGUUUAGCUUAUCAUGGGUUAAUAUUAUAAUGGGGUAGAACAUGUAUCUUUUUUUCAACAUGAUAAAAAUGAUUAUGAAUGACAUAUUAUUUUUGUAGCAUUUUUUGAAGAAAAAGGACAAACUCACACUUGUUUCUUAAAAUAAGAUUUUUUAAUAUUACUUAUUAUCAUAAAGAUAUAUUUACACACUUUACAGAAAUAGAAAAUAAAAACACAAAGCUACGCAUGAAAGGAAAAAAAAUAAAAUAAGUACUCCAAGAGCUAAAGCUUAUCUUUUAUAAAUUAGAAACCAAAAGUUCAAAUAUGUACACAGUAUUUCAACCAUUUCUGAUACACUUGUUUAAUUCAUUUAUUCAUUUGUUUUUGCCCAGUUCAACAUCAAAAUAGAGACAGGGACUGUACAUUUGGCCAGGUGAGUUUGAUGAGCACACACCUCCAGCAGGAAUAAAGAUGAAGAAUAAUACCUUGUCGUUACGCUACUUUUCAUGUGGCCCACUAAUACUGUUGAAAUGCCAGGCCUGACUACAGAUUUUGAGAAUUGAAAUGGAUGGGUGUGCUGAACAAACAGCUUCUGGAUCCCUUUCUCCCAUAAAAAGGUCUAUACUCAAACUAAAGAACUCAUAAUGAUUAUGUGGAUCGUGUGUACAAGUGCAUAGGACUUAUGAUGGGCAGAAACACGUGAUCGAGUAAGAAUGAGUUUCUUGUGAGAGAAAAAAACAUUUAUAGAAAGUGAUUUGUGCUCUGUAAGAGUAAUGUGUGUGUUUGCUGUUUCAGUUUUGAGUUUGGACAUGCUUGUUCUCUUGACACCGCAGGCUCCAUUAACCUGAUGUGCUGACGGGGACGACAGCCCAGGUUUGACGGCAGAGGAGGGUGAGAAAGCUCUUUUGUGUCCACGACAUAUUGUGCAGCAGACUAUAUUUUCUACACUUUUAUACGACCAUACACACAAAAAUAAAAUACAGCUUUCCACACUAUCGAAAAGUAGGCUUUGGACAACCAGCUAGACAAGAAUCAGUCAAUUUAAUUGUCACAAGACACUGGAAAACCAUUACAUGCCAAAGGACUUGUUUUCAGGAUUUACUUUUCCAGCAGCAUAAUGGAAUUGCAAAAGUGCAGCCUUGCAUGUCCAUACAGAGAGGUGUUGGAGGAAAGCCAAGUGAUUGAUAGGGGUCUCCGCUAUAGCAAGCUUUGGAUUUUGUCAUAUUUGUCUUUGGAUGUUUGAUGAAAUGAUAACCAUGUCCACCGGUGGGAAGGGGGCUAGUUUUUCAAGAUUCAAGGCUUGAACUGAACUGAAACACUGCUCGACGGCCCUCAGCUCAGCUCUGGUGAGGAUGGUGAAGAUACAUUCAAGAACAACAGUAUGGAUACAGGCAUUACUCUGCACCUCUAACAGACUCUUCAGAUGAAGUGUACUGCAACUCAGCCGCCCAAACUCGGAUCUUCUCUGGGUUCUGACCUACUGAUCCAUGAAGCAUGAAGAUCUCUUGGGAGCACUGUUGUUCUGAGAAAGCGUUAAUGAAAUCCACAUCUCUGUCUGAGAGGGUAUAAAAUAAUCAUGGCGUGACUGGAAUUAUUAGUAUUCACAGUGCCCUAAGAUUCGAUUCAUUUUUAAUCGAGGUGAGCUUGGCUGGGUGUUUUACUGAUGUAGGUUUUUAGGCACUAUCUUAUAAAGAGCUGAUUUUGCUGCGAGGUGAUGUUUGUGGAUAUACGCAACGAGAGAAACGCCAAACAGGAAAUGGGGAAGGGACUCGAAUGCUAAUUUGCAAUAACUUGCUGCAUUGUCUAAUUAAGUGUCGGAAUUGUGAGUGUAGCUAACAGUCUCAUAAAAGCAUCUCAUAUCGGCCUCAUAAUUUGUGUCUUACUGAAAGGUCUGAUGAUGCCUAAGCCAAGAGUUGCUCAUUUUUAUAGAUUAUUACAUCAUAAAUCAGUUGAAUGCUAAGGUGGUGUGGUCAUUCUAUGCCAAUUUGUCUUGUGAGCUCUAUUGGACUUGAAAGAGAUUUUAGUGAUUCCAAUUUAAAACCGAUUAGCAAUGGGGUUUAAUAACCAGGCUGUGGCCACCUGUGCCAAAGAGGCUCAAACUCAAAAGGCAACUGCUCCCAGUGGGGAGAAAACAAUAAUGGCUUGUAAAAAUGUAGUCCGGAUAAUAUGUAGCUAAAAGUGGUGGAUACAUAAGCAUGAAGCUAAAUGGUGUGAAUACAAAUAAUGUGUGUUUCUUAAAUAAAUGCAUGUAAUAUAGACCAUACAGGCUUGUGUCACAGCACCCUGAGAAAUGAACUGAAAUAUAACAAAAAUAACAACAAAAGAAUGAGAAAUCAUUUCCUGUAUGAUGUAAAAUAAAGGCAUAGAGUUCUGUCAAAGAAUCCGGUCAAGGGGAAAAUCUUUAGAUCUGUAAGGAAAUUUCUUUCUUUUUUUUUUUGGUCUAAUGUCUUGAACCCAUGCUAUCGUUGCCUUUACACUGGAUGUUCAAACAAAUGGCAAAAUGCGUACAUAUGGUUAGAUGUUAUGCUUGCCCCAAGAUAAGAGGUAACAUGUUUACUUUUCUUCUCCUGGCAGCACUGUGGAGUAGAUUUGCUAUUUGGCACUUCAUUAAAAGGAGAGAUGGUCCGCCAUGUGAAGCAGAUCACUCUGGCCAGUUAACAGUCAUGUAUCUCUGCUGUAAAGCAGCGUGUGUUAUGGGGGAGGAGAAGAGGGCUCGGGACGAUGAUCUCUUGCUCAUGGAAGUGGAGUGUAAUUUUCGAUAAUGAGACACUGUGGCUUUAUCCUUAAGCUUCAGAUGGCUGACAACUCUUAGGCUCAUUGGUAGGAUGAUGUAUAAUGACCAUUAGACAGCACUAUGAGAUGCAAUCAAGCUGUUUUAAAUAGAUGUGCCAAUGAAUUAUAUAGUCAUUCAACAUUUUUAGAGGUAAUUAUGUAAUCAGUAAUUAUAACUGAACCCGAUAACACUGAUUGCAUUUACAUUACAAUCAGCAUUCUGGAUGCUUAUACAAUGUGCAUACAUUUUGGCGUCAAAACUUGAUGAGUUAAACAGAAUUCAUCUCAUUAAGAAAUAUUUUUUGUCAUGAUUGUAUAAGAAUUGCAUUUAUGAGCAGUUUGCCAUGUAAAUGCACUCAGUGAUGCCAUUAUUAAGCUAACUGGCCAAUUUUUGCUGUAGGUAGAUGGUAAAUUGUGUAAGAUGUAAAAAUUUAACAUUUCUGACCUGGCCAUAAUGGGCCUGAGCAUUUGUGCCUUUAUGUUAGAUUCCCUGCCACUUUCUUCCCUUAUAAACGCCAUUUAUAAGCCAAGAGUUGCCAACACGUAGCAAUGGGACGAAGCGCUGUGGUCACCUUCACACUGGAGAGAAUGGGACUAGCACACCUCGGAGAAGAAACUGAUGCUUUCGGACUAUAACUGUUAGACCAGGCUCCCCACUGCUCACACAUCAUGCAAAGUGUGGCCAUGAAAGGGCUCUAGAAAGCAAAUGAGGAAAACCACAGGAGGAGAGAGACAGACAGAGAGAGACAGAAUCUGAUAGCUCGGGCUCAAUACCCCCCACCCCCGUUCCCGGCCCACAAUUCUUCGUAGAGCUGAGGGUGAGUGGCUUGUCCUGGUUUUUUUGUGGACAGAAGAAGAGUUGCUUGAAGAACCAGCAGGUGCUAUGGACAUCACUCUUCAGGCUGGGCUAGCAAAGGCCCCUUGUUGCAAGGCCCCCCAAGGCAAAGGAAGAGCAUAGAAAUCAGAACCAAGGGGGAGGGCACUCUAAGCUGUGCCUGUGGACAAAAGAAAAGACACAUGAAUAAGGUACAACGCAGGAACCAACAGUGUUUUUCUGUAGUUUUGCUAAUUAGCACAGGUAGUGGGUACUGAACAUAACAGCUAAAAAAAGAGCAAGUCAAUAAAUGUUUAAUAAUCCUAAAGGUUACUCAAAAACAUCAUAGAUCAUAAUUGUAUAUUCAGAUAAAAAAAUUUAUUAAAAAAACUACAACAACAACACUGGACCCCAUUGACUUUCAGAGUUUUUUGAGAAAAAAAAAAAAUUUAAAUAAUACUUGGAAGCUUGUAAGACUUGCAGGCUUGGAAUUAUAUAAGGGUGAGUAAAGGAUGAGAGAAUUUUCUUUUUUUUUUUGGUAAACUAACUACAAAAUUGCUAGCAAAAUUGGUGGAGGCUGCUGUAUAAUCCAUUGGGACAAGCUGAAAAAAAAGUAAAGUAAAAUGUAUUAUUUUGCCCAAUAAUUGUGUCCUGUACUAUAGUCCACCCAAAAAUGACAAUUCAGUCAUGAUUUAUUGUGAAAAAAGAUAUUUUGAAGAAUAUUGGUAGCCAAAAAUUGACUUGUCCCAUUUUUGUCCAUAUAAUGGAAAUCAAUAGGAACUGACAUAGGUUACCAACAUACUUUAAAAUAUAUUUUAAUGUUCCAGAGAACAAGAAAGGUUUUACAGAUUUAGAACAACAUGAGGGUGUGUAAAUGAUAGAAUUUUAAUUUUUGGCUGAAUUAUCCCUUUAAGCUAUCACACUUUUAGUUCAGCAAAAUGCUAAUGCAAAACUGCUGAAAUGAUUUGCAGCAUCAAGUCUGUCACUUAUGAGGUUCCAUGAUGAUUAGGAUUCUGCUUUUAUAAACUGAUAUGAUUUAUGCAUUUAGAGUGCAACUAGCAAGAAUUCUGUUUUUACACUUCACUUUGAGCAAGGAAUCUAUGUAAACCAGUGAGGUCAUCUUUUAGUGUUUGUUUCAUGACUUCACAAUGAUUUCAGAUAGCUUUAGAUGUCAAUGAGCUUUAUUCUUCCAGUACAACAGUGCCCAUUGAACGAUAAGAACCAUCUUUUUACUUUUUUUCUUGCACCUGCAUAGUGGUGCAUUUGAGUCAUGUACAGUGCAGCACCAGAGAUUCUUAUCUAAACCAU
ensembl:lncRNA